rnacentral:rRNA from 3 species
AGGGCGCACGGUGGAUGCCUUGACACUAGGAGUCGAUGAAGGACGGGACUAACGCCGAUAUGCUUCGGGGAGCUGUAAGUAAGCUUUGAUCCGAAGAUUUCCGAAUGGGGAAACCCACCAUACGUAAUGGUAUGGUAUCCUUAUCUGAAUACAUAGGGUAAGGAAGACAGACCCAGGGAACUGAAACAUCUAAGUACCUGGAGGAAGAGAAAGCAAAUGCGAUUUCCUGAGUAGCGGCGAGCGAAACGGAACAUAGCCCAAACCAAGAGGCUUGCCUCUUGGGGUUGUAGGACAUUCUAUACGGAGUUACAAAGGAACGAGGUAGACGAAGCGACCUGGAAAGGUCCGUCGUAGAGGGUAACAACCCCGUAGUCGAAACUUCGUUCUCUCUUGAAUGUAUCCUGAGUACGGCGGAACACGUGAAAUUCCGUCGGAAUCUGGGAGGACCAUCUCCCAAGGCUAAAUACUCCCUAGUGAUCGAUAGUGAACCAGUACCGUGAGGGAAAGGUGAAAAGCACCCCGGAAGGGGAGUGAAAGAGAUCCUGAAACCGUGUGCCUACAAAUAGUCAGAGCCCGUUAACGGGUGAUGGCGUGCCUUUUGUAGAAUGAACCGGCGAGUUACGAUCCCGUGCGAGGUUAAGCUGAAGAGGCGGAGCCGCAGCGAAAGCGAGUCUGAAUAGGGCGUUUAGUACGUGGUCGUAGACCCGAAACCAGGUGAUCUACCCAUGUCCAGGGUGAAGUUCAGGUAACACUGAAUGGAGGCCCGAACCCACGCACGUUGAAAAGUGCGGGGAUGAGGUGUGGGUAGCGGAGAAAUUCCAAUCGAACCUGGAGAUAGCUGGUUCUCCCCGAAAUAGCUUUAGGGCUAGCCUUAAGUGUAAGAGUCUUGGAGGUAGAGCACUGAUUGGACUAGGGGUCCUCAUCGGAUUACCGAAUUCAGUCAAACUCCGAAUGCCAAUGACUUAUCCUUAGGAGUCAGACUGCGAGUGAUAAGAUCCGUAGUCAAAAGGGAAACAGCCCAGACCGCCAGCUAAGGUCCCAAAGUGUGUAUUAAGUGGAAAAGGAUGUGGAGUUGCUUAGACAACUAGGAUGUUGGCUUAGAAGCAGCCACCAUUUAAAGAGUGCGUAAUAGCUCACUAGUCGAGUGACUCUGCGCCGAAAAUGUACCGGGGCUAAAUACACCACCGAAGCUGCGGAUUGAUACCAAUGGUAUCAGUGGUAGGGGAGCGUUCUAAGGACAGUGAAGUCAGACCGGAAGGACUGGUGGAGUGCUUAGAAGUGAGAAUGCCGGUAUGAGUAGCGAAAGACGGGUGAGAAUCCCGUCCACCGAAUGCCUAAGGUUUCCUGAGGAAGGCUCGUCCGCUCAGGGUUAGUCAGGACCUAAGCCGAGGCCGACAGGCGUAGGCGAUGGACAACAGGUUGAUAUUCCUGUACCACCUCUUUAUCGUUUGAGCAAUGGAGGGACGCAGAAGGAUAGAAGAAGCGUGCGAUUGGUUGUGCACGUCCAAGCAGUUAGGCUGAUAAGUAGGCAAAUCCGCUUAUCGUGAAGGCUGAGCUGUGAUGGGGAAGCUCCUUAUGGAGCGAAGUCUUUGAUUCCCCGCUGCCAAGAAAAGCUUCUAGCGAGAUAAAAGGUGCCUGUACCGCAAACCGACACAGGUAGGCGAGGAGAGAAUCCUAAGGUGUGCGAGAGAACUCUGGUUAAGGAACUCGGCAAAAUGACCCCGUAACUUCGGGAGAAGGGGUGCUUUCUUAACGGAAAGCCGCAGUGAAUAGGCCCAAGCGACUGUUUAGCAAAAACACAGCUCUCUGCGAAGCCGUAAGGCGAAGUAUAGGGGGUGACACCUGCCCGGUGCUGGAAGGUUAAGGAGAGGGGUUAGCGUAAGCGAAGCUCUGAACUGAAGCCCCAGUAAACGGCGGCCGUAACUAUAACGGUCCUAAGGUAGCGAAAUUCCUUGUCGGGUAAGUUCCGACCCGCACGAAAGGUGUAACGAUUUGGGCACUGUCUCAACCAGAGACUCGGUGAAAUUAUAGUACCUGUGAAGAUGCAGGUUACCCGCGACAGGACGGAAAGACCCCGUGGAGCUUUACUGUAGCCUGAUAUUGAAUUUUGGUACAGUUUGUACAGGAUAGGCGGGAGCCAUUGAAACCGGAGCGCUAGCUUCGGUGGAGGCGCUGGUGGGAUACCGCCCUGACUGUAUUGAAAUUCUAACCUACGGGUCUUAUCGACCCGGGAGACAGUGUCAGGUGGGCAGUUUGACUGGGGCGGUCGCCUCCUAAAGUGUAACGGAGGCGCCCAAAGGUUCCCUCAGAAUGGUUGGAAAUCAUUCGUAGAGUGCAAAGGCAUAAGGGAGCUUGACUGCGAGACCUACAAGUCGAGCAGGGACGAAAGUCGGGCUUAGUGAUCCGGUGGUUCCGCAUGGAAGGGCCAUCGCUCAACGGAUAAAAGCUACCCCGGGGAUAACAGGCUUAUCUCCCCCAAGAGUCCACAUCGACGGGGAGGUUUGGCACCUCGAUGUCGGCUCAUCGCAUCCUGGGGCUGUAGUCGGUCCCAAGGGUUGGGCUGUUCGCCCAUUAAAGCGGUACGCGAGCUGGGUUCAGAACGUCGUGAGACAGUUCGGUCCCUAUCCGUCGUGGGCGUAGGAAAUUUGAGAGGAGCUGUCCUUAGUACGAGAGGACCGGGAUGGACGCACCGCUGGUGUACCAGUUGUUCUGCCAAGGGCAUAGCUGGGUAGCUAUGUGCGGAAGGGAUAAGUGCUGAAAGCAUCUAAGCAUGAAGCCCCCCUCAAGAUGAGAUUUCCCAUAGCGUAAGCUAGU